UUCAAGAUGGCUGCUACCUACAUUCCUGUUAGGGUUGUGAAGCAUAAACAAAGUCAACAUGGAAUACGGUGAUACACACCGAAAGCUGGGACUCCACAGAUCAUGAGGAUAUAUUAUUUGUCUGCCUGUGACCUACCGUUAUUGAUCUCCAGCCCUGAGAGUCUAAAUGUUUAUUUUACACUGUUUUCACCAAACAGCAAACAUCUUACAAGAGUGGAGGAUGCAGAGCAUUUGGAUGAUGACGUUUGGGAGCUACCCCUCCCCAGCAAGCACCCUCACCGGCCAAGGUGCUCACACCCCACUGCUAUGUCAAUCACCCUGUCUGAUGUUUCUACAUCCACUUUUCAAAGACCUCUUGAAGAAGAAAAUAGGGUCUUGUGGCACCAUUCGUCCUAACAGAAUCGGUUUCCCAAGACCAAGGUAAAUGACAUGACAAAGACAGCAGAGAGGGGGACCAUUUGUUGGAUCAGGAUUAAAAAGCCACUUUUUGUGAAAUGGAAGGACACUAGGGAAGUAACCAUGCUCACCACACAGCAUAAGACAUUCAAUAACGACCAUGUCUCAAGGAGGGUGAAAAAUGCCAAUGGGGCAUGGGUGAGGAAGAAUGUCAACGUUUCUGUUUCUGUGAACGACUACAAUGCCAGCAUGGGCGGUGUCAACCUAUCUGAUGCUCUGAUAGGCUACUACCAGGUCCUCCACAAGACCAGGAAGUGGGUAUAAGACUUUUUUUUUUACAACUUUAUGGACAUUACUACAGUAAAUGCUUUCAUUCUCCAUAAGCAGAUGGCCAAAGCAAAAGGUCAAACCCCUCUCUCCCAGUUGGCCUUCCGAGAUAAACUGGUGUUGGAAAUGGCUGAAUUGGAGGUCCAAAGCAACCUCACUACCAUCACAAGACCCCCCACUCAAAGUGAGCGCCACUAUUUAACACACAUGCCAAAAGACAGAAGGAAGAAUUGCAAGCAUUGCACAAAACACAGAUCUUCUGUCCGAAAUGACAGAUUGCUUUUUGUUUCCUGGCAGAGAGGGACUGCUUCAAAGAUUAUCACGACAUGCACAAGCUAUGGUGAAAGUGAAAUCUAAUCAUCUACACCUGGGAUGUAAAACAUACACGAAUGCCAUUUGUAAAUAGUUCAGCUUAUUUAAAUUCUUGCACCUUUUGUUGUGAGGGACAAAUGUUUUUUAUAUUUUUUAUGUAUAUCUGGUGCUUUUAUAUUGUUUAUGUAAACAGUUCAUUUGUAUGUGGGACCAACACAUUGGAUAUGCCUAUAGGCUAAACGUUCAAGAACUUUGAAGAGGUUGAAAAAACACGUGGAUAUCCUUUGUAUGUCCCCCGACACCAGCACAAUAUUUGAGAGAGGUUGGUGUUACAGAAAUGUUGUUUUUAUAGUGAACAAUCUAAUCAAAUCAAAUGUAUUUAUAUAGCCCUUCGUACAUCAGCUGAUAUCUCAAAGUGCUGUACAGAAACCCAGCCUAAAACCCCAAACAGCAAGCAAUGCAGGUGUAGAAGCACGGUGGCUAGGAAUAUCCUUUAGGCACAUCCAGUGUGCAAAAACAGUGCAAUUACCAUAUUCGGACACUUUAGAGAGGUUGAAAGGAAACUUGAAUGUGCCCUGGAUACCCCAUAUCACCCCCACAAUGUUUGAGUGAGGUUGACAUGGUAGAAAUUGUGUUUUUAUACUGAACAGAUAGCAUUUAGGGAUUGCAAAUAUGUAACAGCACUGAAAUUAACUAAUUUACAGACAUGCCACUUUGGAGAGGUUUAGGGACACUUGGAUAUGUCCCAUGACCACACCUGACACCACUUACUAAAACAUCUGCCCAUUUUUUUAUUUUUUUAUUUUAUUUUACACCUUUUUUGUGGUAUCCAAUUGGUAGUUACGGUCUUGUCCCAUCGCUACAACUCCUGUACCGACUUGGGAGAGGCGAAGGUCGAGAGCCGUGAGUCCUCCGAAACACAACCCAACCAAGCCGCACUGCUUCUUGACACCUAUGCCCGCUUAACCCAGAAGCCAGCCGCACAAAUGUGUCAGAGGAAACACCGUACACCUGGCAACCAUGUCAGUGAGCAUUGCUCCCAGCCCACCACAGGAGUCGCUGGGACAAGAACAUCCCUGCCGGCCAAACCCUCCCCUAACCCGGAUGAUGCUGGGCCAAUUGUGCACCGCCCCAUGGGUCUCCCGGUCUGUUAUUUUGUGUUUGCUUGAUCUUGUGAAUUCUGAACUAUGUAACUCCUAUCUAUCUUCUGAUCAUUUCCUCACAAUCUCACAGAAUGUGAACACACAUGAACAGCAGUUACUUUUGGGUAUGUCUAUUUAGGCGGGAAAUCUACAUUUUGCCAUUAUAUUUAAGAGGUUUAGACUAUUUUCUGGUAUUACAAAAGUAAUAUUGAAUUGUGCUUGGUUGUCAAUGCAACCAUAUAUCAACAUUUCCAUGUAUCUAAUGCUCGAAAAGUUCCAUCUGUGCCACUGACUUAGUCUGGCUUUAAUUCCAGUUUGUCUUGAAAUUAAUAAAUGAUAUGUUGGAUUCACGUCUCCAUUUCAACCAAAAAUAAUAAGAUAAAGAAUAGGACAAAAUUAAAUAAAACUUUAAAUGCACUUUAAAUCAAGUUUGAUUUGAUCCUAUGCUUUAACCUUGAUUUUUGGUUAAGAUGGAAACAUGAAUCCAACAUAUGAAUUAUUAAUUUGUAGACAAACUGGAAUUAUAGCUAGACUAAAGUCAGUGGCACAGAUGGAAUUAUCCAAGCAGAAGACAUCUCCUUCAAAUGUUGGUAUUUGGUUGCGUUGACAAUCAAACAAUUCAAUAUCGCUAAAUAGCAUUAUAUUUGAAAUCAGUGAUUGAAACCCUACCCACUGGGCACAAACUGGUUGAAUCAAUGUUGUUUCAACAUAAUUUGUCAACGUAUUGUGACAUGGAAUCUACAUGGAAAAUACAUUGGAUUUGAAAAAAGUAA